UGGCUCAGUCGGUUGAGCACCUGACUUCGGCUCAGGUCAUGAUCUCACGGUUCACGGGUUCGAGCCCUGU
rnacentral:tRNA from 1 species